AGUGAACGCUGGCGGUAGGCCUAACACAUGCGAGUCGAACGGCAGCACAGUAAGAGCUUGCUCUUACGGGUGGCGAGUGGCGGACGGGUGAGGAAUACAUCGGAAUCUACUUUUUCGUGGGGGAUAACGUAGGGAAACUUACGCUAAUACCGCAUACGACCUACGGGUGAAAGCAGGGGAUCUUCGGACCUUGCGCGAUUGAAUGAGCCGAUGUCGGAUUAGCUAGUUGGCGGGGUAAAGGCCCACCAAGGCGACGAUCCGUAGCUGGUCUGAGAGGAUGAUCCGCCACACUGGAACUGAGACACGGUCCAGACUCCUACGGGAGGCAGCAGUGGGGAAUAUUGGACAAUGGGCGCAAGCCUGAUCCAGCCAUACCGCGUAGGUGAAGAAGGCCUUCGGGUUGUAAAGCCCUUUUGUUGGGAAAGAAAAGCAGCAGGUUAAUACCCCGCUGUUCUGACGGUACCCAAAGAAUAAGCACCGGCUAACUUCGUG
rnacentral:rRNA from 1 species